rnacentral:rRNA from 1 species
UGGGGAAUAUUGGGCAAUGGGCGAAAGCCUGACCCAGCGACGCCGCGUGGGUGAUGAAGGCCUUCGGGUUGUAAAGCCCUGUCAUGCGGAAAGAACAGUUCCGUGGUGAAUAUCCACGGAAUUUGACGGUACCGCAGGAGGAAGCACCGGCUAACUCCGUGCCAGCAGCCGCGGUAAUACGGAGGGUGCAAGCGUUGUUCGGAAUUAUUGGGCGUAAAGGACGCGUAGGCGGUAAUGAAAGUCAGAUGUGAAAUACUUCGGCUCAACUGAAGAACUGCAUCUGAAACUUCAUAACUAGAGUACAGAAGAGGGAAACGGAAUUCCCGGUGUAGAGGUGAAAUUCGUAGAUAUCGGGAGGAACACCAGUGGCGAAGGCGGUUUCCUGGUCUGAUACUGACGC